AUACUUACUUGGCAGGUGGCAUGCCAUGAUCAAGAAUGUGUUUUGGCUAGGGUGGGGGUCUACCAUUGCUCACUUUGGCUGGGUUGACUCCUGUGAUUUCUCCAAAUGUGAGAAACUCAACUGCAUAAUUUAUGGUAGUAAGUAACUGCUUUUGUGCAGUCCCCUG